AGUGAACGCUGGCGGUAGGCCUAACACAUGCAAGUCGAACGGCAGCACAGUAAGAGCUUGCUCUUACGGGUGGCGAGUGGCGGACGGGUGAGGAAUACAUCGGAAUCUACUUUUUCGUGGGGGAUAACGUAGGGAAACUUACGCUAAUACCGCAUACGACCUACGGGUGAAAGCAGGGGAUCUUCGGACCUUGCGCGAUUGAAUGAGCCGAUGUCGGAUUAGCUAGUUGGCGGGGUAAAGGCCCACCAAGGCGACGAUCCGUAGCUGGUCUGAGAGGAUAAUCAGCCACACUGGAACUGAGACACGGUCCAGACUCCUACGGGAGGCAGCAGUGGGGAAUAUUGGACAAUGGGCGCAAGCCUGAUCCAGCCAUACCGCGUGGGUGAAGAAGGCCUUCGGGUUGUAAAGCCCUUUGUUGGGAAAGAAAAGCAGCAGGUUAAUACCCCGCUGUUCUGACGGUACCCAAAGAAUAAGCACCGGCUAACUUCGUG
rnacentral:rRNA from 1 species